rnacentral:tmRNA from 1 species
GGGGCCGAAUUUUGGUUUCGACAGAAUAUUAAAGAUAUUAUUUGCAAUUGGUUUGCUGUACCUAAAGCAGCACAAUAAAAAUAAAUAACAAUAAUCAAAGAACUGCUCUAGCAUUUGCUUAAUUAAAAGCUUGCGAGCCCUGUUAUAUUACUAGUCUCACAGAGUAAUAAUAACGGGUCAUAUUUAGUGAGAUAUAUUUAUAAAGUUGCUUUGCUUUAUAAAUGAAUAUUUAAAGCUUAGCCAGUAUUUUUUUGAUAGAUUCUUAAAUACCGGUGAAAUAACAAUCUAUCUAAAUUUGUAGACGAUAAUAUUUUUAUAUUUUGGACAGCAGUUCAAAUCUGCUCGGCUCCACCA